AUUGAACGCUGGCGGCAGGCCUAACACAUGCAAGUCGAACGAGUGGCGGACGGGUGAGUAAUGUCUGUGAAACUGCCUGAUGGAGGGGGAUAACUACUGGAAACGGUAGCUAAUACCGCAUACCAUCGGAUGUGCCCAGAUGGGAGUAGCUAGUCGGUGGGGUAAAGGCUCACCUAGGCGACGCUCCCUAGCUGGGCUGAGCGGAUGACCGGCCACACUGGAACUGAGACACGGUCCAGACGCCUACGGGAGGCAGCAGUGGGGAAUAUUGCACAAUGGGCGCAAGCCUGAUGCAGCCAUGCCGCGUGGAUGAAGAAGGACUUCGGGUUGUAAAGUACUUUCAGCGGGGAGGCGUUACCCGCAGAAGAAGCACCGGCUAACUCCGUGCCAGCAGCCGCGGUAAUAC
rnacentral:rRNA from 1 species